GAAAGGUCUCACAUACACAAGUCUCAGGAGUCCCGAGCAGAGUUCUCAGGGGGGUUUUUUUAUAGCAAGCAUGUACGUGCAAAAAGGUGCACACGAGUCAAUUUCUAACCACACCUCACUCGAAAUGAGGCCCUUUCUGACCUCCCUAUGAGCUUGUGUAUCUCUUGACAGCUUCCGUCAGAUCUUCAGCAGAUCAACUCGACUUUUUGUUUGAACAAUAAAAGUCUACCUUUUGACAUCAAGACCGCAAGCCUCUGAGAAGUGUUUACCUUUUUGCUGAAGAGAUUCCACGACAUAAAAUUGGUGAUGUUGGCAGGAUUGGAAAGGAGCCAAGAGGGUGGAAGACUCAUGCAGACAAACUGCAUGGACAGGUGGCCACCUAUCAAAGCACUGAAGCCUUCUUUUAUGGUUCUCCAUCACAAAAUUGGUGACUUUAACGAGGCGGAUGGUGUUUGUAGUGGAGCUGGUUACUCAGUGCUGAAUAGUCUGUGACAAUGGUGAAUAGUUUGGGCUCCAGGUAAUUCUACCACCUUUCCAGACCCCAUACUACUGCAAGGCAUUCUUUUUCAUUUGCAGAAUGAUUUGUUUCUGUUUUGUUUAAGGUUCUACUGGCACAGGCGAUCACCUCCUCCAGGUCUUUCUGCUGUGUCAAUACAACACCCAAUCCAGUGUUGCUGGCACCAGUAUACACAGUGACUGGAAGUUGGAGUUUGACAUGACCGAGAAUGAGAAGUGAUACUCAGCAAUCCUGGAGAAGUUUGGUACAAACCGGUGGUACCAGCUGACUAAUCUGAGGAAACACUGGACCUCUAUGAUGUGGUGUGCCACAGGAUACGGAUAGGUGGCUUCGACCUUAUUUGGGUGUACAGAACAUGACUGAGGAAAGUUAUUUCCUGAAGGUAAAACUUACUCUCUAUCAGGUUGAUGGUCAGGCCAGCUGUUUGCAACUGAUGAUGAACAGUGGGGAGGGUGAGAAACUGCUCGGCCAUGGAGGUUGAUUGGAUGAUUAUGUCAUCAAUAUAGACGAAGCAUAUGCUUCCACGUAACUCUCCAAGGAAUAUCUCUAUCAGUCUUUGGAGUGUCAUCUGGGCAUUUUUUAAUCUAAAGGGCAUGACAUUCAACUGGUAGAACCCGGACAGAGUGACGAAGGCAGUCUUUGGCUUACAUUCUGGGUCCAUAGUCACCUGCCAGUAACCACUGUUAAGGUGGAGAACUGGCUGCCCCAGAGAGGGAUUCAAGGAGGUUUGGGAUUAGUUCUCUGUAUUAGCAUUAACCUUUCAGUAAUCCACACAGAAUCUAAGGUUUCAUCUUAAUUUUUUUUAGACAGGAUACACGACCAAUAUGGCCUCUGUUUAAUGGGCACUGGAUGGGUGGUGUAGAGACGGUGUAGCAGAACAUCAGUCCAGUGCACACCUCAGGGUUGGACUCCAGGAGUUGACAUGAUUGAUGUGUUCCCUCAGGAGAAUACAGUGG